UAUAUAUAUAUAUAUAUUAAAUACUAAAAGUGGAAUGAUACAGAGAAGAUUGCAAGCCCCCGGCAGAAAGGAUGACACGCAAAAUCAUGAAGUGUUAAGGGUUACG
ensembl:snRNA U6 U6 spliceosomal RNA